GACGAACGCUGGCGGCGUGCUUAACACAUGCAAGUCGAACGGAAAGGCCCUGCUUUUGUGGGGUGCUCGAGUGGCGAACGGGUGAGUAACACGUGAGUAACCUGCCCUUGACUUUGGGAUAACUUCAGGAAACUGGGGCUAAUACCGGAUAGGAGCUCCUGCUGCAUGGUGGGGGUUGGAAAGUUUCGGCGGUUGGGGAUGGACUCGCGGCUUAUCAGCUUGUUGGUGGGGUAGUGGCUUACCAAGGCUUUGACGGGUAGCCGGCCUGAGAGGGUGACCGGCCACAUUGGGACUGAGAUACGGCCCAGACUCCUACGGGAGGCAGCAGUGGGGAAUAUUGCACAAUGGGCGGAAUCCUGAUGCAGCAACGCCGCGUGCGGGAUGACGGCCUUCGGGUUGUAAACCGCUUUCGCCUGUGACGAAGCGUGAGUGACGGUAAUGGGUAAAGAAGCACCGGCUAACUACGU
rnacentral:rRNA from 1 species